rnacentral:rRNA from 1 species
UUCUUGGAACUGCGAAGGAUCUUACAGAGCGUGAGGCUCAGUCGUGGCAUCUGCUGCGUGCUGGGCCGACCCUCCCACCCGUGUCGAUUUGUAUCUUGUUGCUUUGGCGGGCCGGGCCGCGUCGUCGCUGCCCCGCAAGGACAAGCGUCGGCCGCCCACCGGUUUCGGCUGGAGCGCGCCCGCCAAAGACCCCAUCAAAACUCAUGUUGUUUAUGUCGUCUUAGCUUUAUUAUUGAAAUUGAUAAAACUUUCAACAACGGAUCUCUUGGCUCUGGAAUCUAUGAAGAACGCACCGAAAUGCGAUAAGUAAUGUGAAUUGCAGAAUUUAGUGAAUCAUCGAAUCUUUGAACGCACAUUGCGCCCCUUGGUAUUCCGAGGGGCAUGCCUGUUCGAGCGUCAUAACACCCCCUCCAGUUACCUUUGUGUGGCUGCGGUGUUGGGGCUCGUCGUGAUACGGCGGCCCUUAAAGACAGUGGCGGUCCCGGCGUGGGCUCUACGCGUAGUAACUUGCUUCUCGCGACAGAGUGACGACGGCGGCUUGCCAUAACAACCCACUUGCUCCAGUCAACAUGUAUCACAGGUUGACCUCAAAUCAGGUAGGAAUACCCGCUGAACUUAAGCAUAUCAAUAAGCGGAGCUGCAGAGGCCUUUCUCUCUUCCCAAAGAGAGGAAUAAUUUUCACGUAUUUUAUAAGUUUCCUAAAUCUUCUCCUUAAUUCAC